ACGUGAGCGCGCACCCCGCAGGCCUUCCACCGAGGGAGCUGGGCCCGGCAGCGACUGCGCAUGCUGUGAACGCUGCCCGCGCUGGAAAGCCGAUGUAGGCUCAGACCCCCAACGGAGGAGUGGUCCCUGGCGACGGGGAAGGAUGGGAGAGCCUGGAGGCUCGGUCGGAGGUCAGGGUGACGUCUUCCAGGCCGCCGUGGCAUGGUCCCUACUUGAACACCCAAAAUGACUUUUACCAUGGGAUUCAGAAACGUCUUGCAAGACUAAGACUGGACCUGCUAAGGGGAGCUUUGGAAAGGAAGCCUAUUUCAUAAAUCCCCAUGGCUACAGAGGUUGCUGCAAUGCUUAUCAUCACACCCAAUGCCCCAGGAUUCCAGUGGACUGUUACAUGGCUUGGUUGACUCUGACUCAUGGACACAUGCUGCUGUGAAGCACUCUGAUGUCCUCACUGCCAAUAAGCCCAGUAUGGGUGGAUCCAAGAUGAAAUGGCUAACUUGGGCUCAUUUGCAGGUGAUAAUUGACCAUAAGUAAUAUAGUGGAGUCCUUGGAAGAAGCAAAACUGAAAAGGAAAAGACAGUAAAAUUGUGUUGGAAAAGCACCAAAGGAAAAUUUUGCCUAUUUCACCAUGUGGUCAUGGGCUAACCUGAAGUCAACUCUCACACCCACACAGUUUUUUUCUGGCAACAUUUCCCUUCUGUCUGAAGAACUUCUUUUAGCAAUUCUUUCAGAAAAGGUCUGCUAGCAAGAGACUUCCAGUUUCCAGUUCCACAUGUUAUGAAUUGGAAAUCGUCACUCUGUCCAAACAAGUAGAAAGUGGAACAGACUGAAAAAUCAACAACUCUUUUUGAAUCCUUAAGAGAGGGAAGGACACAAGACUACCCAUUGCCCUCAAGAUUGGAGAAAUAGAAUAAAGGGAUUUGCAGCUUACAGGAGAAGAAACUCACCAGUGGAAACCACUGCAGAAACUAGUGUCGAGUUAGGGAAACCUGAAUUGCAAUUACAAAUUGCUGGAAGCUCAGUGUUGAAAAUUCUGAGAAUUAAAACUCCAGGGGGAUCUACACAUAGAGGAGCCCCUGCAGUUAGUGAGAUUUACCUCUAGAAACUCAAUCAGGUCCCCAUAGUAAAUAUCAAAGAAAAAUCCUCUCAGGCUUCUAUCAGGGAAAGGGGAAAAGGAACUAUUUUGAAAUACACAAGAGCAUUUUGUUUUCAUAGGAAAGCUGGCCCUCAAGGGAAACUAGUUAUUCUUGCUUGGGUAAUUUCAGAGCCUAACUCACCUGUGGAAGUAAAAUACCCAACUCCAGCCCAUUCUACAUAUCCCAUCCUCCUUAAAGGGAGAAAAAAAACCUGAAAAACACUUGUGAAUUUCAUAGUCCAUAAUCAUGGGCUCACCAAAAUACUGAGCCUUAAUUCAUAGCACUAUAAAAUGCUUCCCCUCCCACACACCUCACGACCAUACUACAAAAGGUCUAUUUAUAGCAGUUCCUUUUACCUGGUAUAACAUUUCUAGCUAUCAAGAAAAAACUACAAGGCACACCAAAAGGCGAAACACACAAUUUGAAGAGGCAGAACAAGUAUCAGAACCAGACAUGGCAAGGAUUUGGGAAUUAUCAAACUAGGAAUUUAAAACAACUUUGAUUUAUAUUCUAAGGACCCUAAAGGAUAAGGUAGACAGCAUGUAAGAACAGAUAGGCAAUGUAAGCAGAGAAGUGGAAAUCUUAAGAAAGAACUAAAAAGAAAUGCAACAAAUAAGAGAUACGGUAACAGUGAUGAAGAAUGCCUUUGAUGGGCCUAUUAGUAAACCAUAUGGAACUGAGGGGAACAAAACCUCUGAGCUAGAGGAUAUAUCAAUAGAAUGCUUGAAAACUGAAAAUCAAAGAGAACAAAGACUGAAAUAACAACAGAAUAUCCAGAGACUGUGGAACAACUACAAAAUGUGUAACAUGUGUAAUGGUAAUACCAGAAAGAGAAGAGAAAAAGGAACAAAGAAAUAUUUGAAACAAUAAUGACUGAGAAUUUUCCCAAAUUAAUGUCAGAUGCCAAACCACAGAUCCUGGAAGCUCAGAGUAGACCAAGCAGGAUAAAUACAAAAAAAAAAAAAAAAAAAAAAAAACAAAAAAAAAACAACUUGGCAUGUUAUUUUCAAAUUGCAAAAAAUCAAAGGUAAAGUCCUGGAAGAUGCCAGAGGAAUAAAAUACCUUACCUAUAGAGAAAAAAAAUAAGAAUUACAUCUGACUUCUCAGAAACUGUGCAAGCAGGAAGAGAGUGGAGUGAAAUAUUUAAAGUGUUGAGAGAGAAGAAAAAACACCAACCUGGAAUUCCAUUCCCUGAAAAAUUAUCCUUCAGUAGUGAAGGAUAAAGACUUUCUCAAACAAGCAAAAAUUGGGAGAAUUUGUUGCCAGUACAGCUGCCUUGCAAGAAUAUUAAAGAAAUUAUUUGAAAGAAGGAAAUAACAAAAACACCUAUUUAAAUGGCCAAAAUCUAGAACAUUGACAACAUCAAAUACUGGUGAAGAUAUGGAGCAACAAGAACUCUUCAUUCAUUGCCGGUGGAAAUACAAAAUGGUACAGCUACUUUGGAAAACAGUUUGGCAGUUUUUUACAAAAUGAUAAAUUCUAAGGAGCACAAUGACUAGAUCGUAUUCUUACCAUACGAUCUAGUCAUUGUGCUCCUUAGAAUUCAUCCAAAGGAGUUGAAAACUUUUAUCUACCCAAAAACCUGCAUGUAGAUAUUUAUAGGACCUUAAUUGCCAAAACUCAGAAGCAACCAAAAUGUCCUUCAUCGGGUUAGUGGACAAAUAAAAUGUGGUACAUCCAGACAAUGGAAUAUUGUUCGCCAUUAAAAGAAAUGAACUACCAAGCCAUGAAAACCUUAAAUAUAUAUUACUAAGUGAAAGAAAACAAUAUGAAAAGACUAUAUACUACAUAAUUCUACCUUAUAUGAUAUUCUGGAAAAGACAAAACUAUGGAGACAGUAAAAAGAUCAGUGGUUGCCAUGGCAGGGUGGAUGGAGAGGACACAAGGGAUUUUUUUUAGGGUAGUGAAACUACUCUGUAUGAUAUAGCAAUGGAUAUAUGUCAUUACACAUUUGUCCAAACCCAUUGAAUAUACAUUAGAAGUGAACCCUUAGGUAAACUAUAGACUUUGUGUGACUAUGAUGUAUUAAUGUAGGUUCGUCCUUGGUUAAAAAAAAAAAAAAGUACCAUUCUGGUGAGUGAUGUUAAUAAUGGGAGAGACUAUGCAUGUGUGGAGGAAGAAGGUAUGUAAAAAAUCUCCACAUCUUCCUCUUAAUUUUACUGUAAACCUAAAACUUCUCUAAUUAAAUAAGGUGUUUUUUUUUUAAAGAUCUGCCAUAAAUAAAUUAUCUUAGUUUUAUUUUCUCUGAUAAUGCCUUUAUCUUACCCUUAUUACUGAAGGAUUGAGUUGACAAUUCUUUUCUUCUAGCACAUUAAAAAAAUGUUGCUCCACUUCCUGGAUUUCACAUUAUUAUUCUCCUAUAAGUAAUGUGUUAUUUUCUCUGGCUACUCUGAAGAUUUUUUCUUUAUAUUUAGUUUUUCGAAGUUUGAUUAUGCUGUGUCUGGGCAUGGAUUUAUUUGGGUUUAUACUAUUUGAGAUUCUGCAGGUUAAUGUCUUAUUCCAAAUUUUUAGCCAUCAUUUCCUCAAAUAUUUUUUCUCAGAAUAUUUUUUCUCAUCUUCUAGGAUUCCAAUGAUACAAAUGUUAAACCUUUAGUAUUGUCACAGAUGUCCUUGAGGCUAUGUUCAUUAUUUUUUUCAGUAUUUUCCCUCCGUUGUUUGGGAUGGAAAAUUUCUAUUCAUCUAUUAAUAAAUUUACUGACUAUUUCUUCUAA